GUGCACCAGGCGCGAAACCUCCGCAAUGCGGGCAACCGUGACGGGGUCACCCCGAGUGCCCCCCUCGUGGGGGCUUUUCCCCGCUGUAGGAAGGCGGGGGAAUAAGCGGGGGGCAAGACUGGUGUCAGCCGCCGCGGUAAUACCAGCCCCGCGAGUGGUCGGGGUGAUUAUUGGGCCUAAAGCGCCCGUAGCCGGCCCGGCAAGUCUCCCUCUAAAGCCCCGGGCUCAACCCGGGGAGUGGGGGAGAUACUGCCGGGCUAGGGGGCGGGAGAGGCCGAGGGUACUCCCGGGGUAGGGGCGAAAUCCUAUAAUCCCGGGAGGACCACCAGUGGCGAAGGCGCUCGGCUGGAACGCGCCCGACGGUGAGGGGCGAAAGCCGGGGGAGCGAACCGGAUUAGAUACCCGUGUAGU
rnacentral:rRNA from 1 species